AUGGACGACUCACUCAUGUUCAUGCAGUGGGCGGUGAGCACGCUGCAGCACGAGGAGGAUCAAGGAGGAGCCGAUGAGAACAGGGCUGCCUCCCCAUGCCACCAGGCGCUCUGCGAUUCCCCGGAGCUCGCGGAAGCACACAACAGGCAGAGCUCCGGCGCCGAUACGCGCCGCGGCGGUGGGAUCAUCAGCCCAUCCCCCGAUGCGGCCAUGCAGCAAGGCAGCAAUUCCACGUUGACGUCGUUCCAGGCCUCGGGCAGCAUGAGCAGUACCGGCACCACCAACAUCCAGUCCAUGAGCUGGAACUUCAACACGGCACAGCCGUCCAGCGUUGGCGGUGGCACACAGGCCGCCAGAGCACCCCUUCGUUCCGGCGUGUCACAGCCGACGAGGAAGGCCGCCGCAAGGAAAGUCGCCGGCUGCGCGCAAGACCACAUCAUGGCGGAGCGGAAGCGCCGGGAGAAGACCAACCAGCGUUUCAUCGAGCUCUCCGCCGUCAUCCCCGGCCUCAAGAAGAUGGACAAGGUAACGAUCCUUAGCAACGCAACGAGCUAUGUGAAACAGCUCCAAGAGAAGGUCAAGUCCCUGGAGGUGGCCGGCGGCAGCCAUAGGAGCGUUGAGACCGUGGUGCUGGUCAGGGAGCCGAGACGCCAUGCCGCGCCGAACGGCGACGAGGGGUCCAGUUUGUUCUACUCAGCAGCCCGGACAUGGAGCCAGCGGCAGCCCGAGAUAGAGGCAAAGCUUUCAGAGAACAAGGUGAUGUUGAGGAUCCACUGUGAAAUAAAUGGAAAGGGUGUUGUCGCCAGGGUUCUUGCGGAGUUGGAGGAGUUCCACCUUUGCAUCGUCAGCAAUAAUGUGAUGCCGUUCACGGAAUCCACCGUGAUUAUAACCAUCGUGGAGGAGGGCUUUACCGUCAAUGCAGAGGAAAUAGUGAGAAGACUCAACUAUGUACUGUGCGAAGAUAGCUGCAACAAGAGUUGUUACUAA
rnacentral:rRNA from 1 species